rnacentral:rRNA from 1 species
CACGUAGGGUGCGAGCGUUGUCCGGAAUUAUUGGGCGUAAAGAGCUCGUAGGCGGUCUGUCGCGUCGGUCGUGAAAACUUGGGGCUUAACCCUGAGCUUGCGGUCGAUACGGGCAUGACUGGAGUUCGGCAGGGGAGACUGGAAUUCCUGGUGUAGCGGUGAAAUGCGCAGAUAUCAGGAGGAACACCGGUGGCGAAGGCGGGUCUCUGGACAGUUCCUGACACUGAGGCACGAAGGCCAGGGAGCAAACGGG